AUGAUGCACAAUUUCCUGAAGUUUGUUUUGGCCAUAGAAGUCGGACUUGCUGGUACUGUUUCGAUUUCUCUGGAAAGAUCCUCCUGUAAUCAUCUCCCCGGGAUUUUUGGUGCGUUUGAGAUUAUCUCAUGUAGACCAAAACAGAGAUUAUAUCGAGCAUAUGAUUCCCAACAGGGGCUUGCAAUCAGCACUAACGCUGCUGGGUUCGCCAUGGCGACACAAUGUCUUGUUCAGUGCUACUCCCUUUCUAAGACCAUAUUCCUUUCCAUCUUCUCGGUAGAAAAAAAGUCCCUUUCACUCUGCAGCCUUUUCCAAGACCAAGUCAUGUGUGUUUAA
rnacentral:rRNA from 1 species